UACGUAGGCAGCAAGCGUUGUUCGGAGUUACUGGGCGUAAAGGGUGCGUAGGCGGCUUCUUAAGUCUGGUGUGAAAUCUCCCGGCUCAACUGGGAGGGUGCGCCGGAUACUGAGGGGCUAGAGUGUGGGAGAGGAAAGUGGAAUUCCUGGUGUAGCGGUGAAAUGCGUAGAUAUCAGGAGGAACACCGGUGGUGUAAACGGCUUUCUGGACCAUAACUGACGCUGAGGCACGAAAGCGUGGGUGGCAAACAGG
rnacentral:rRNA from 1 species